GGUCCCACGGUGCCAGCUCCCACCAUUCCAGUGCAGUGGGAAUGCUCCCAGCAUCCCUCAGGGACAUGCAAAGCCGUGCUUUAACCAAGGAGGUUGUAAAUCCUCUGUGCAGCGUCACUCGCUUCCCUCAACCUGUCAGCACCUCUGAGCUGCUCCUUGGAGCCCUGAAAUACGGACGAGAAGAUUCCUGUUUCCACAGGUACCGUGCCUUGUUCCUGGCAAAAUUCUCCUCUUUCCACUGCUUGGGUCUUGGAGGCGUUUCUGUUCCUGCUUUGCAUGGAUGGAGAUUGGAGAGACGUGAGAGGAAGGUGCUCCUUUUGUGCCUGAGGAGCAUCCCCUUGGACCAGGAUAACGGCAGAAUCAUCCAUAGCAAGGGCAAAUCCAUGCAGGAGCCAGGCAGCUUCCCUGAGCAUCCCAUCAGUGCAGGCAGCAGGACCCCAGCCCUGCCACAGGACCUCGAACCACACGGACCCCAUCACAUUUCCAUUUUGAAACCUCAGCUGUAUUCAAAGAGUCUUUGGCAUUAAUAUUAAUAUUAUUUAUUAUAAUAAAGAACAGUCAAGCA